UACGUAGGGGUCUAGCGUUGUCCGGAAUUAUUGGGCGUAAAGGGCGCGUAGGCGGCCAUGCGUGUCUUCCGUGAAAUCCCUCGGCUUAACCGAGGACGUGCGGAAGAAACUGCAAGGCUCGAGUCCGGAAGAGGGGGGCGGAAUUCCCAGUGUAGCGGUGAAAUGCGUAGAUAUUGGGAGGAACACCAGUGGCGAAGGCGGUCCCCUGGGUCGGAACUGACGCUGAGGCGCGAAAGCGUGGGUAGCAAACGGG
rnacentral:rRNA from 1 species